AGCUCCAAUAGCGUAUAUUAAAGUUGUUGCAGUUAAAAAGCUCGUAGUUGGAUUUCUGGCAGUGGUGAACGGCCACACACAAUGUGUGUGAGCAUGUUUAUCAUGCCAUCCUUGGUGAGAUCCUAUUUGGCAUUAAGUUGUCGGGUAGGGGAUAACCAUCGUUUACUGUGAAAAAAUUAGAGUGUUUAAAGCAGGCUUAUGCCGUUGAAUAUAUUAGCAUGGAAUAAUAAGAUAGGAUUUUGGUUCUAUUUUGUUGGUUUGUGAGUCAAAGUAAUGAUUAAUAGGGACAGUUGGGGGUAUUCGUAUUUCAUUGUCAGAGGUGAAAUUCUUGGAUUUCUGAAAGACGAACUACUGCGAAAGCAUUUACCAAGGAUGUUU
rnacentral:rRNA from 1 species